rnacentral:rRNA from 1 species
UGAGGAAUUUUGCGCAAUGGGGGCAACCCUGACGCAGCAACGCCGCGUGAGUGAUGAAGGCCUUCGGGUCGUAAAGCUCUGUCGAGUGGGAAGAAACAGUAUUGGUUAAUAUCCAAUGCCUUGACGGUACCACUAAAGGAAGCACCGGCUAACUCCGUGCCAGCAGCCGCGGUAAUACGGGGGGUGCAAGCGUUAUUCGGAAUUAUUGGGCGUAAAGGGUGCGUAGGCGGUUUUGUAAGUCAGAUGUGAAAUCCCGGAGCUUAACUUCGGAACUGCAUUUGAUACUGCAAGACUUGAGUAUGGGAGAGGGAAGCGGAAUUCCUGGUGUAGAGGUGAAAUUCGUAGAUAUCAGGAGGAACACCGGUGGCGAAGGCGGCUUCCUGGACCAAUACUGACGCUGAGGCACGAAGGCGUGGGGAGCAAACA